rnacentral:rRNA from 1 species
UACGGGGGGAGCAAGCGUUGUUCGGAUUUACUGGGCGUAAAGGGCGCGUAGGCGGUCAGCACAAGUCAGUUGUGAAAUCUCCGGGCUUAACUCGGAAAGGUCAACUGAUACUGUGCGACUAGAGUGCAGAAGGGGCAACUGGAAUUCUCGGUGUAGCGGUGAAAUGCGUAGAUAUCAGGAGGAACACCUGUGGUGUAGACAGCUUACUGGACCAUAACUGACGCUGAGGCACGAAAGCGUGGGUAGCAAACAGG